AACGCUGGCGGCAUGCUUUACACAUGCAAGUCGAACGGUAACAGGGUGCUUGCACCGCUGACGAGUGGCGAACGGGUGAGUAAUAUAUCGGAACGUACCUGGUAAUGGGGGAUAACUAUCCGAAAGGAUAGCUAAUACCGCAUACGCCCCGAGGGGGAAAGUGGGGGACUCGCAAGAGCCUCACGUUAUCAGAGCGGCCGAUAUCAGAUUAGCUAGUUGGUGAGGUAAAGGCUCACCAAGGCAACGAUCUGUAGCGGGUCUUAGAGGACGAUCCGCCACACUGGAACUGAGACACGGUCCAGACUCCUACGGGAGGCAGCAGUGGGGAAUCUUGGACAAUGGGCGAAAGCCUGAUCCAGCAAUGCCGCGUGCGUGAAGAAGGCCUUCGGGUUGUAAAGCGCUUUUGUCCGGGAGGAAAUCCUGAGAGCUAAUAUCUCUUGGGGAUGACAGUACCGGAAGAAUAAGGACCGGCUAACUACGUGCCAGCAGCCGCGGUAAUACGUAGGGUCCAAGCGUUAAUCGGAAUUACUGGGCGUAAAGGGUGCGCAGGUGGUUCAUUAAGUGUGAUGUGAAAGCCCCGGGCUCAACCUGGGAAUUGCAUUGCAAACUGGUGAACUAGAGUAUGGCAGAGGGGGGUGGAAUUCCGCGUGUAGCAGUGAAAUGCGUAGAGAUGCGGAGGAACACCGAUGGCGAAGGCAACCCCCUGGCUAAUACUGACACUCAUGCAC
rnacentral:rRNA from 1 species